AUCACUAAUAUUUUUAACCACAGCUAAUCGGAGACAUAUUAAAGUAAAUUAUUUCUGUAAAAGAUUUUUAAAUUGCAUUUAUAUCUUCAUGAUUUUUUUAUCCUUGCAGUAAUGAAGAGCACUAGUGUAAGUACAGAUUGAAAUGGGAAUCCAACUUCGGACUGAUGUAAAACCAAUAUAGAAAUUGAACGUCGUUAUUGUAUAUAUUUGUUUCAUUUACUUAAAUAAUAAAUAAAUAAUAGCAAUAUGAUUUAAUGGAAUUAAAUCUAUAUAUUUUCAAACUGCCUUUUGUAAAUCAUGCGCAUCAGCACGAACCUGUCAAUCUUAACGGCAUCCUUAAGACACGAUUACGCAUUAUGAAAUUUAAUAUACAAUACUCUUCUACCUACAAAUCAAACAUGUGUCUGGAAAGCGGAAGAAUAAAUUGAUACUUAUAUAAGGAAGUGGACAGAAUUCUUGUAAUUCGAAAACGCACAUUCAAUCCGCCUUUGUCUAUUCAAGGUAUUGCAGACUACAAUUCAUUCUGCGUAUUGCAAAGAUUACCUCGAAUAAUUAUUUUCAGCUAAUUAUUCUUAUCAUUAUUUAAUAAAUAUGAUACGAAUGUUUUCAACACCUACGGGUGUAAGAUUAGAAAAGGAAGUAUGUGUGCGCUGUUUGCUAUCUUCAUUUACAUCAGUCGCAAUAGUGUACGGAUGGGACUUUUUUAUGCCUUGUUCCUGUGUGGCAAAACCAAACCCUUACUUGCAGAAACUUAUAAACUUUUACAUUUCCUUUAUUGAAAUAGUUUAUUGGGUGCAUGCCGUUCUCGUUGUUUGUAUGGCAAUUCCUUAUAUAUCGGACAUAACGCCUUGCUAUUCCUGGUACGCGAUCGUCAACUAUGACCUAUAUGGCAGACUCGUCCUUGCCGUUCUCGAUUUGGCUAUUGCUAUACUAUUCAGCAUUGCCAAAAGAGUCAAAUUGAG